AGACUUUGAUCCUGGCUCAGAUUGAACGCUGGCGGCAUGCUUUACACAUGCAAGUCGAACGGCAGCACGGGGGUAACCCUGGUGGCGAGUGGCGAACGGGUGAGGAAUGCAUCGGAACGUAUCUUCAAGUGGGGGAUAACGCAUCGAAAGGUGUGCUAAUACCGCAUAAUCUCUGAGGAGAAAAGCAGGGGAUCGCAAGACCUUGCGCUUUUGGAGCGGCCGAUGCCUGAUUAGCUUGUUGGUGAGGUAAAAGCUCACCAAGGCUUCGAUCAGUAGCUGGUCUGAGAGGACGACCAGCCACACUGGGACUGAGACACGGCCCAGACUCCUACGGGAGGCAGCAGUGGGGAAUUUUGGACAAUGGGGGCAACCCUGAUCCACCAUGCCGCGUGAGUGAAGAAGCCUUCGGGUUGUAAAGCUCUUUCAGCCGGAACGAAACGGUCACGGUUAAUACCCGUGACUACUGACGGUACCGGAAGAANAANCACCCGGCUAACUACGUGCCAACAGCCCGCGGUAAUACCUAAGGUGCGAACCGUUNAUCNGAAUU
rnacentral:rRNA from 1 species